rnacentral:lncRNA from 1 species
CUUCAUUUAACAACAGGACAUUCACCCAUCUUCCUGGAACCAUUGACAACAGGACAUCAAGUGAGAGGCUCAGAGGAUGCUUGAGGAUGUUUUAACUCAAAUAGAUUCUUAGGUUUGCGACACCAAGAUAUCAGGAAGGACAAAAUGCCUAGCCAGUCUUUAUUUUCCUAAAAACAAAUAAACAAACAAAAAAACCCCAAAUAUUCUCCCCACCAAAUGAUAGUAUCCUAUCAAUCCUGCAGACCCCCAAGGGCUUUAAACCCCCAUCUCUAACAGUCUGCAUUCACCAAUGAUCAUUAAAGGCCUAAAUUGCCUUCCUGAAAAUAUCAUCCUAUCUCUGUUAAGCAAAGGAACCCUUCACUAUCUCCUGAAGAUGAGACGCUAAUCUUGAACACAGACAUCUGUGCUUACCUAGCGGCAUGUUCUUCAUAACACAAAUACAGAGCUAUCUAGGGUCACAUGAAUUUUGCACUGCACAGAUUGCAAGAGAUGACCAGAACAUGGGACAUGAGAUAAAUUGUCACUCCAGCAGAUAAGAUGCAAAUUUUCACUAGUGACCCCUGAGGCACCAACUCCUCUACAUUACACAGGUCAGGAGAAAGAGAGUUAAUUCAAGGUCUAAUUAUAGCUAGGGUAAUAACCUUAAUUGGAUAACUUAUUGGAUGGGUAGAAGGAAUAAUUUGCAAUGCAGUGACCACUCAAAACAUUUCCGCAACCACAGGGGACAUUGCUAUAGAAACUUGACAAGAGUUUAAAUGACUAGCUAAAAUAUUUAGGCUUACUAGCCCAAUUGGUGAUUGAAAAUAGGCUGGUUCUAGGUGAUUUAUUGGCUUGGGAAGGUGGAGUUUGUACUCUGGCAAACACCUACUGCUGAUUUUAUGUCACUGUGUCUGGAAAAAUAAAUACUAGUGCUGAUCAAGUUUUGCAAAAAGCUAUUGGCUUUAAAGCUGUUCACCCAGAUAACACUAGAGAUGUAUGGGAAACUUUAAGCUUACCUGCCUAAACUCACUUGUCUGUUACCACUGUUUGGAUCUUUGGUUGCUAUAACUCUACUCCUAUUGCUUGAUCCUUGCC